rnacentral:rRNA from 1 species
UCCUGACUGACCGAUAGUGAACCAGUACCGUGAGGGAAAGGCGAAAAGAACCCCGGCGAGGGGAGUGAAAAAGAACCUGAAACCGUGUACGUACAAGCAGUGGGAGCACGCUUAGGCGUGUGACUGCGUACCUUUUGUAUAAUGGGUCAGCGACUUAUAUUCUGUAGCAAGGUUAACCGAAUAGGGGAGCCGAAGGGAAACCGAGUCUUAACUGGGCGUUAAGUUGCAGGGUAUAGACCCGAAACCCGGUGAUCUAGCCAUGGGCAGGUUGAAGGUUGGGUAACACUAACUGGAGGACCGAACCGACUAAUGUUGAAAAAUUAGCGGAUGACUUGUGGCUGGGGGUGAAAGGCCAAUCAAACCGGGAGAUAGCUGGUUCUCCCCGAAAGCUAUUUAGGUAGCGCCUCGUGAAUUCAUCUCCGGGGGUAGAGCACUGUUUCGGCAAGGGGGUCAUCCCGACUUACCAACCCGAUGCAAACUGCGAAUACCGGAGAAUGUUAUCACGGGAGACACACGGCGGGUGCUAACGUCCGUCGUGAAGAGGGAAACAACCCAGACCGCCAGCUAAGGUCCCAAAGUCAUGGUUAAGUGGGAAACGAUGUGGGAAGGCCCAGACAGCCAGGAUGUUGGCUUAGAAGCAGCCAUCAUUUAAAGAAAGCGUAAUAGCUCACUGGUCGAGUCGGCCUGCGCGGAAGAUGUAACGGGGCUAAACCAUGCACCGAAGCUGCG